AUUGAACGCUGGCGGCAGGCCUAACACAUGCAAGUCGAGCGGAGCGGCGGAGGGGUGAGUAAUGCCUAGGAAUCUGCCUGGUAGCGGGGGAUAACGUCCGGAAACGGGCGCGAAUACCGCAUACUAUCGGAUGAGCCUGGGUCGGAGUAGCUAGUGGGUGGGGUAAAGGCCUACCAAGGCGACGAUCCGUAACUGGUCUGAGAGGAUGAUCAGUCACACUGGAACUGAGACACGGUCCAGACUCCUACGGGAGGCAGCAGUGGGGAAUAUUGGACAAUGGGCGAAAGCCUGAUGCAGCCAUGCCGCGUGUGUGAAGAAGGUCUUCGGAUUGUAAAGCACUUUAAGUUGGGAGGCGUUACCAACAGAAUAAGCACCGGCUAACUCCGUGCCAGCAGCCGCGGUAAUAC
rnacentral:rRNA from 1 species